UAAACUGAAGAGUUUGAUCAUGGCUCAGAUUGAACGCUGGCGGCAGGCUUAACACAUGCAAGUCGAGCGGGGGAAGGUAGCUUGCUACCUAACCUAGCGGCGGACGGGUGAGUAAUGCUUAGGAAUCUGCCUAUUAGUGGGGGACAACAUUCCGAAAGGAAUGCUAAUACCGCAUACGUCCUACGGGAGAAAGCAGGGGAUCUUCGGACCUUGCGCUAAUAGAUGAGCCUAAGUCGGAUUAGCUAGUUGGUGGGGUAAAGGCCU
rnacentral:rRNA from 1 species